rnacentral:lncRNA from 1 species
CUCCUUACCACUGCCGACCGCCGCCUGCCGUUUUCUCCUUUCGCCGAGAGGCACCGAGCCCCUUCCCCUAACUCCAUUUUUUCCCCACCCCCUGUUGCAGUCAUCCAAGCCACCAUCGCGGGCUUCCUUGGCCCGCCUUCCACCAAACCCUCCCGUCUGGCCCUGUUGCCACUUGUCCAGCAGGCCACCAGCCCAGUCCGUCUCUACGGCCCGAUUCUGUCCGUCAGCCCAAGGCCCUUGGCCGCAGGCCCUGUUUCAGGCCCAAGCCAGGGUGUUCUUCAGCCCAUUUCAACAGCCCAGGAAGCCUUGUGCUGUAGAUGCAGGUCCAAAACUCCAGCUAGCUCUGCCCGGCGCCAACUUCGUGUUCGAGACUCCACGAGCAGACGAUUCUGGUCCACUGCAUUCA